rnacentral:misc_RNA from 1 species
GAUGAUGAGGACGGGGAUGAUGAGGAGGAGGAGGAAGACGAUGACGAAGAGGAGGAGGAGGAUCAACCACCUGCCAAGAAGAAAAAAUAAACCAUUUCCUAGUAUGUUUAUUCUGUUUUUCUUCCAUGCUUGUUGGAGUAUGUAGUAGUUGUAGGAAGAAGGGGAAUUUUAGCUCUUCUGUUGGAAUUAAUCAUCCUUUUGCAGACAAAAUGAACUUCUUGUCACCCUAUUUGACUGUUAGUUAUGAUAUAUAUU